UCGGAUGUGGUGGAUGGCGCACACCCGCUCGCAUUAGGUAUAGAAAGAAUAUCACCUUGGAACGCGGGAAGGCCGGGUUCGACUCCCGGCGUCCGAA